UACGUAGGGUGCAAGCGUUAAUCGGAAUUACUGGGCGUAAAGCGUGCGCAGGCGGCUUUGCAAGACAGAUGUGAAAUCCCCGGGCUUAACCUGGGAACUGCAUUUGUGACUGCAUGGCUGGAGUGCGGCAGAGGGGGAUGGAAUUCCGGCGUGUAGCAGUGAAAUGGCGUAGAUAUGCGGAGGAACACCGGAGUGGAGCACCGAA
rnacentral:rRNA from 1 species